UAUAUUUCAGACGAGAAUACGACAAGCUAUAAGUUUUUGUACCUAAGAGAGGCAAUACGUUUAUCAUUUUCUAAGUCAUGAAGUGUGGUGUUUCGUUUAUGGUUUAUUGUAUUCUCGCAUACCUUGUUUUAAGCCAUGUUAAAGAAGUAGAAUCCAAGGGAAAAAGGCUGUGCGAAUUCAAGAAAUCUUUUCGUGGAAAAUGCGGAAAGAAUGGAAUAUUCACAUGCUUGAACGACUUUAUCAAUCUGUCUAACAUGCCAAAAAAUAUGCGCGUAGGAAAUUUCAGAUGUUUUGAUGUUCCACUUUCUCCCGACCAUAUGUGUAAAUAUUUUCACGAAUGCUGAGCUUUAUCUCUCUAUAAUUAAAUUCUCUUCACCAAUGAAUAAUAGUAUAGAAGAUAUAAAGUUAUAACGCUUUUUGGAUUCUUCCUUA